GGGGUGAGUGGCAGACGGGUGAGUAACGCGUGGGAACGUGCCCUUCAGUUCGGGAUAACCCAGGGAAACUUGGGCUAAUACCGGAUACGUGCGAGAGCAGAAAGAUUUAUCGCUGAAGGAUCGGCCCGCGUCUGAUUAGCUAGUUGGUGGGGUAAUGGCCCACCAAGGCGACGAUCAGUAGCUGGUCUGAGAGGAUGAUCAGCCACAUUGGGACUGAGACACGGCCCAAACUCCUACGGGAGGCAGCAGUGGGGAAUAUUGGACAAUGGACGCAAGCCUGAUCCAGCCAUGCCGCGUGAGUGAUGAAGGCCUUAGGGUUGUAAAGCUCUUUCGUCCGGGACGAUAAUGACGGUACCGGAAGAAGAAGCCCCGGCUAACUUCGUGCCAGCAGCCGCGGUAAUACGAAGGGGGCUAGCGUUGUUCGGAAUCACUGGGCGUAAAGGGCGCGUAGGCGGCUUUAUAAGUCGGGGGUGAAAGCCUGUGGCUCAACCACAGAAUUGCCUUCGAUACUGUAGAGCUUGAGACCGGAAGAGGUAAGUGGAACUGCGAGUGUAGAGGUGAAAUUCGUAGAUAUUCGCAAGAACACCAGUGGCGAAGGCGGCUUACUGGUCCGGUUCUGACGCUGAGGCGCGAAAGCGUGGGGAGCAAACAGGAUUAGAUACCCUGGUAGUCCACGCCGUAAACGAUGAAUGCCAGCCGUUGGGCAGCUUGCUGCUCAGUGGCGCAGCUAACGCUUUAAGCAUUCCGCCUGGGGAGUACGGUCGCAAGAUUAAAACUCAAAGGAAUUGAC
rnacentral:rRNA from 1 species